AAAUAAUAUUAAAAAAAAUGAGGGGUGAGUUCAAUCAACUCAGUGAGAGAAUAACAUUUAAUAUAUAUUUUAAAUAUUUUAGAUAUUAAUAGUUUGCAAGACGAUUUAUCU